rnacentral:rRNA from 1 species
UCUGGUUCAGGAUGAACGCUAGCGGCAGGCCUAACACAUGCAAGUCGCGGGGCAGCACGGGUAGCAAUACCUGGUGGCGACCGGCGCACGGGUGCGUAACGCGUAUGCAACCUGCCCCCAUCAGGGGAAUAGCCCGCCGAAAGGCGGAUUAAUGCCCAUAGGCCCAGGGCGCCGCAUGGCGCUAUGGGUAAAGCUCCGGCGGAUGGGGAUGGGCGUGCGUGCCAUUAGCUAGUGGGGCGGUAACGGCGCACCAAGGCGACGAUGGCUAGGGGGUCUGAGAGGGAUGGUCCCCCACACUGGUACUGAGACACGGACCAGACUCCUACGGGAGGCAGCAGUGAGGAAUAUUGGUCAAUGGGCGGAAGCCUGAACCAGCCAUGCCCGCGUGCAGGAUGACGGCCCUACGGGUUGUAAACUGCUUUUCCCCGGGAAGAAUAAGCCCCUCGUGAGGGGUGAUGCCGGUACCGGGGGAAUAAGGAUCGGCUAACUCCGUGCCAGCAGCAGC